rnacentral:rRNA from 1 species
GUGUGACUGCGUACCUUUUGUAUAAUGGGUCAGCGACUUAUAUUCUGUAGCAAGGUUAACCGAAUAGGGGAGCCGAAGGGAAACCGAGUCUUAACUGGGCGUUAAGUUGCAGGGUAUAGACCCGAAACCCGGUGAUCUAGCCAUGGGCAGGUUGAAGGUUGGGUAACACUAACUGGAGGACCGAACCGACUAAUGUUGAAAAAUUAGCGGAUGACUUGUGGCUGGGGGUGAAAGGCCAAUCAAACCGGGAGAUAGCUGGUUCUCCCCGAAAGCUAUUUAGGUAGCGCCUCGUGAAUUCAUCUCCGGGGGUAGAGCACUGUUUCGGCAAGGGGGUCAUCCCGACUUACCAACCCGAUGCAAACUGCGAAUACCGGAGAAUGUUAUCACGGGAGACACACGGCGGGUGCUAACGUCCGUCGUGAAGAGGGAAACAACCCAGACCGCCAGCUAAGGUCCCAAAGUCAUGGUUAAGUGGGAAACGAUGUGGGAAGGCCCAGACAGCCAGGAUGUUGGCUUAGAAGCAGCCAUCAUUUAAAGAAAGCGUAAUAGCUCACUGGUCGAGUCGGCCUGCGCGGAAGAUGUAACGGGGCUAAACCAUGCACCGAAGCUGCGGCAGCGACGCUUAUGCGUUGUUGGGUAGGGGAGCGUUCUGUAAGCCUGUGAAGGUGUACUGUGAGGUAUGCUGGAGGUAUCAGAAGUGCGAAUGCUGACAUAAGUAACGAUAAAGCGGGUGAAAAGCCCGCUCGCCGGAAGACCAAGGGUUCCUGUCCAACGUUAAUCGGGGCAGGGUGAGUCGACCCCUAAGGCGAGGCCGAAAGGCGUAGUCGAUGGGAAACAGGUUAAUAUUCCUGUACUUGGUGUUACUGCGAAGGGGGGACGGAGAAGGCUAUGUUGGCCGGGCGACGGUUGUCCCGGUUUAAGCGUGUAGGCUGGUUUUCCAGGCAAAUCCGGAAAACUAAGGCUGAGGCGUGAUGACGAGGCACUACGGUGCUGAAGCAACAAAUGCCCUGCUUCCAGGAAAAGCCUCUAAGCAUCAGGUAACAUCAAAUCGUACCCCAAACCGACACAGGUGGUCAGGUAGAGAAUACCAAGGCGCUUGAGAGAACUCGGGUGAAGGAACUAGGCAAAAUGGUGCCGUAACUUCGGGAGAAGGCACGCUGAUAUGUAGGUGAAGUCCCUCGCGGAUGGAGCUGAAAUCAGUCGAAGAUACCAGCUGGCUGCAACUGUUUAUUAAAAACACAGCACUGUGCAAACACGAAAGUGGACGUAUACGGUGUGACGCCUGCCCGGUGCCGGAAGGUUAAUUGAUGGGGUUAGCGCAAGCGAAGCUCUUGAUCGAAGCCCCGGUAAACGGCGGCCGUAACUAUAACGGUCCUAAGGUAGCGAAAUUCCUUGUCGGGUAAGUUCCGACCUGCACGAAUGGCGUAAUGAUGGCCAGGCUGUCUCCACCCGAGACUCAGUGAAAUUGAACUCGCUGUGAAGAUGCAGUGUACCCGCGGCAAGACGGAAAGACCCCGUGAACCUUUACUAUAGCUUGACACUGAACAUUGAGCCUUGAUGUGUAGGAUAGGUGGGAGGCUUUGAAGUGUGGACGCCAGUCUGCAUGGAGCCGGCCUUGAAAUACCACCCUUUAAUGUUUGAUGUUCUAACGUGGACCCGUAAUCCGGGUUGCGGACAGUGUCUGGUGGGUAGUUUGACUGGGGCGGUCUCCUCCUAAAGAGUAACGGAGGAGCACGAAGGUUGGCUAAUCCUGGUCGGACAUCAGGAGGUUAGUGCAAUGGUAUAAGCCAGCUUGACUGCGAGCGUGACGGCGCGAGCAGGUGCGAAAGCAGGUCAUAGUGAUCCGGUGGUUCUGAAUGGAAGGGCCAUCGCUCAACGGAUAAAAGGUACUCCGGGGAUAACAGGCUGAUACCGCCCAAGAGUUCAUAUCGACGGCGGUGUUUGGCACCUCGAUGUCGGCUCAUCACAUCCUGGGGCUGAAGUAGGUCCCAAGGGUAUGGCUGUUCGCCAUUUAAAGUGGUACGCGAGCUGGGUUUAGAACGUCGUGAGACAGUUCGGUCCCUAUCUGCCGUGGGCGCUGGAGAACUGAGGGGGGCUGCUCCUAGUACGAGAGGACCGGAGUGGACGCAUCACUGGUGUUCGGGUUGUCAUGCCAAUGGCACUGCCCGGUAGCUAAAUGCGGAAGAGAUAAGUGCUGAAAGCAUCUAAGCACGAAACUUGCCCCGAGAUGAGUUCUCCCUGACUCCUUGAGAGUCCUGAAGGAACGUUGAAGACGACGACGUUGAUAGGCCGGGUGUGUAAGCGCAGCGAUGCGUUGAGCUAACCGGUACUAAUGAACCGUGAGGCUUAACCUU